GGGCCCGCACAAGCGGUGGAGCAUGUGGUUUAAUUCGAUGAUACGCGAGGAACCUUACCAGGGCUUAAAUGUAGUUUGACCGGUCUGGAAACAGACUUUCUCUUCGGAGCAGAUUACAAGGUGCUGCAUGGUUGUCGUCAGCUCGUGCCGUGAGGUGUUAGGUUAAGUCCUGCAACGAGCGCAACCCCUAUUCUUAGUUGCCAGCACGUAAUGGUGGGAACUCAUGGGAUACUGCCGGGGUCAACUCGGAGGAAGGUGGGGAUGACGUCAAAUCAUCAUGCCCCUUAUGUCUUGGGCUUCACGCAUGCUACAAUGGCCGGUACAGAGGGCUGCAAUACCGUAAGGUGGAGCGAA
rnacentral:rRNA from 1 species